GAUGAAGAACGCAGCGAAAUGCGAUAAGUAGUGUGAAUUGCAGAAUUCAGUGAAUCAUCGAAUCUUUGAACGCACAUUGCGCCCCUUGGUAUUCCAUGGGGCAUGCCUGUUCGAGCGUCAUUUGUACCUUCAAGCUUUGCUUGGUGUUGGGUGUUUGUCCCGAGGGACUCGCCUUAAAGUAAUUGGCAGCCAGUGUUUGGUUUUGAAGCGCAGCACAAGUCGCGAUUCAAGGCUACACGCCCGCUUCCACAAGCCUUUUUCACUUUUGACCUCGGAUCAGGUAGGGAUACCCGCUGAACUUAAGCAUAUCAAUAAGCGGAGGA
rnacentral:misc_RNA from 1 species